CAGUCGCCGCGGUAAUGCGUAGGUGGCAAGCGUUGUCCGGAAUUAUUGGGCGUAAAGGGCUCGCAGGCGGUUUCUUAAGUCUGAUGUGAAAGCCCCCGGCUCAACCGGGGAGGGUCAUUGGAAACUGGGAAACUUGGGUGCAGAAGAGGAGAGUGGAAUUUCACGUGUAGCGGUGAAACGCGUAGAGAUGUGGAGGAACACCAGUGGCGAAGGCGACUCUCUGGUCUGUAACUGACGCUGAGGAGCGAAAGCGUGGGGAGCGAACAGGAUUAGAUACCCCUGUAGUCCCUGUCUCUUAUAA
rnacentral:rRNA from 1 species